rnacentral:lncRNA from 1 species
GCAUACUAGUAAAGUUGGACUCUUGAUUUGGCCCAUUAUCAUCACUAUUUUUUUUCUAGGGCUAUAGGCUGAACUUUGAAUUGUUUUUUCAAGAAAUUAUACAUAUUUUUGCAUCUACGUUAUGUGAAUUUUCCAGAAAUUUAAGAAAGUUGUACAGUCUGUAGAAACCAGAUACUCCGGGUAAAUUCUCCGUGUGCGCCAGAGCUUCUCAGGUCCACAACCCAAGCUGUUCUCGGCAUCCGCCUACAGUGAGUCAAAAUGGGAAUGGGCCGACCCAGCCCUGGCCCCGUGGCCCCAAGGUCAAAAUAUGAGGCCACGGGCCGGCCCAUUUUAUCAGAAUUUUGUGGCCCCAUUGACCCAUUGGGUACAUGAGGCCGACACAGAAUUUAGCAAAUGUUUAGUAAAAUGGCAAGAUCAUGAGACUACAUGUUUGAAAGAGCAUCAAGCUAAAUACCUCAAUCCAAUAGAUUCGAACAAGAUCAAAAGAUUACAAGUUUCAAAGAACGUCAAGCUAAUGACCUCAAUCCAACAGACUCAUACAAGAUCAAAAUAUUACAGGUUCAACAUGCUAAUCUUUUCACAUCCAGUAGGUUAUAGAGAAAGCUGACAUAUCUUUGCUUCACCAUCUGCUUGAGGUUUAACAUCAAUUGCUCCAACAAGCAUCAGUCCUCGAUAUCUGUAUUUACAAAGAAAUGUUACAAGAGUAAUUCUGUGCACAUCAACUAAAUAGUAUAUUUAUCCAUCAAAAAAACUAAAUAAUAUAUUUAUGAACAGAGGAAUAUGCUUAGUAGCAAAUGCGUGUUCCAGAAAACCAAUUCAUGAUCAGGUUUGCAAGAAAAUACACUUCUAAAUAUCCAUUAUACACUACCCGUCAUCCACUCCGCAACAUAUUCUAAUCAAGAUUUAGUUAGCAAUGCAUAUUUUUAAUAUAGUUUGGCGAUGAAAAAAAUGAAUCUGAACUACACAUUCAUAUCUGAGAGAAAAAAGAAAUAUAUAUUAGAGAUCAACUAUAACUUGGGGAAACCAAAACUAAAAGCACUACAAAGUCAACACCAAUGAUUAAAUAGAAUUUAUGGCUACACAAACCGUUGAAGAUAGUUCUAAACCUAGGCCAAAACGAACUGGUGCAGUUCUGUGUGUAAAACACUAUAUAUUCAUCUACAUGUUUGGGCUGCAUCUUGCAAAUAGUUCCCUGGAACAAACUGUAGAUAUGAAAUCCCUCUUUAAAAAGCAGACAUCAUACUUUAAGUGUACUUUCAUAUACAUGGCACUACAUACAUCAGAAAGUUUCUCAUACCUUGUAAGUCUAGUAAAAUGUCAUGAACUGAAGCCAAGCUACGUUGAGUAUUAGCUGCAGAAAAAAAAAAGAAACUUGUAAACUUGAAGUAUUGAUAAGAAACAAAGAAGAAACUUGUGUUGUAUGGCUUUACCGGUGGCCCUUAUCCAAUCUUGUAAGCAAACAAGAGCUUCAAGUGUCGUUGCGGUCAUUCGACUUCGAAAAUCUGAUAGGACUCUCUCCCCUGUGCUGAAGGCGGACUCGGAUGCCACCGCAGAGGCAGGAGCCGCCAAGAUAUCUACUGCCAUGCGACUCAGCGUUGGGUAUUCACCUGAGUUCGUCUGCCACCAUGCAAGGAUAUUGAAUUGAUCACUUCGACGGAUGGGUACCUUUGACAAGUACGAAUCAAGUUCAGUAGAAUCCAAAUUUGUUGAUCGAGCAGUGAGGGUGACAUGUUGGUCCCAAUCAGCCAUAGGAUCUUCACCACUUAUAGCCAUGUCAUCAUCACCUCCUUGUGACAUGGGAUCUGAGCCAUUGUCAUUCAAUUGGAGGUAUUCCUUGAACAACCCUUGGAACACAUUUUUUUAUUUUAGCAAUCAUUGCUGCAGCUACGUUCCCAAACUCUAGGCCAAAUCGGAACUCAAUAUAUUUCAACUUGAAUUGUGGGUCCAAAAUCACUGGAAUACAAAGGCUCAACCAUGUCAUCUUCCAGUACCUUCUGAAUUUUCUCUUCAUAUAUUUGACUGUUGUACCCAUCUCAGAAUCCUCUUCAUAAUGUUGUUGCUCUAAGGUCAGCUUCACUUUUCACAUUUCAUGGAAAUACAAAUUAGCAGUUGGAUAUUUUGUGCCCGAUAUCACAUUAGUGGCUUCAUAAAAUGCCUUCAGUAGCCUGCAAACAUCUUCGGCAUUUUCCCAAUCCUCAAAAGAUGGCUUGAAGGUAUAUUGUUUAUCGUGAAUGGCCAAAGAGUCAAACACUCCGCGAUACUCCUUCGCUAUAUCAAUCAUCAUGUAGGUUGAGUUCCAGCGAGUUGGAACUUCAAGACUUGGAGUUCUCCCACAUGAUACACCAUGCUGCGCAACGAUUUCUUGAAAUUUUUCCUUUCGACUUGGUGAGCUUCGAAUAUAUUUGACACUUUCACGCAUCAUGUUGAUCACUGGACCAAGGAAGUUCAAUCCUGCUUGACAUAUCAGAUUUAUGACAUGGGCAGCACAACGUUGGUGAAACAACUUGCCACUACCAGGUAACAUCUUCUUAAGCAGGAGAUGUGCCUUCAAUAGCUUCAUCAUUGCACCAUUGUUUGAUGCAUUGUCUAGCGUCACAGCAAAGAGAUUAUCUUCAAUGUUCCACUCUCUUAUGAAAUUCACCAUGACGUUGAACAUUGCAGCUCCUGUGUGCGGCGUCUCCAUAGCUGCGAAUUUCACUAUCCUCUUCUGCGGCUUCCACUCCUCAUCAAUGAAGUGAGCUGUGAUGCAAAUGUACCCCACUGUCUGAUUUGAUGUCCACAGAUCCGUAGUCAAAGAAAUCUUGGAUUUGGAGUUUUGGAACAUCCUUUGCAGAAUUCUCUUCUCUUCCUUAAAUGCUUUCAUGCAGUCCUCCUUCACUGUUUUUCUACAUAUCAUCUUGAAGCUAGGAUUUAGACUAGAGACAAAUCUUCUAAAUCCAUCGUACUCCACCAAUGAGAAUGCCAAUUCAUGCAACACAAUCAUCCUCAUUAGCUCUCGGCGUGCUAAUGCCUGAUUAAAUGUCCAGAGCCCCAUUGCAACUCCAUCAGGACUCACGAUAGAAGCACUCAGCUGUCCAGAAACUCUAAGAACCUUCUUCCUUUCCCUGCAUCUCUUCAAAUGUUUGCGCAAUGAACUUGUUCCAUGUUUACGCUCAGCACAAAUAUUCCUUGCACAGUGUUUGCACUCAGCAGCUACAACUAUGCCAUCAACACGGAUAGGCUCAUAUUCUUUCCACACUUUAGACAAAAACUUUCUUCCCGGUUCAGAAAAUGAACCCAUGUCAAUGAUCUCAACCCCUCCCUCUUCAUCCACAUUAUCUCCCUCUUCUUCUUCUUCUUCUUCUUCUUCUUCUUCUUCUUCUUCUUCUUCUUCUUCUUCAUCAUCAUCAUAUUCUUCUUCAUCAUCCUCAUCUUCUUCUCCUUCCUCUUCUUCUUCAUAGUCAACAUCUUCUUCAUCAGCCUCAUCUUCUUCACAAUCAACCAUACGAGUGUCUUGUGAACGUCCUGCUGAGCAAAGGACACGAGUGUUAACAUUGCAAUUACGAGUAUUUUUUUAUUUUAGCAAUCAUUAAUUUGCAUCCCUAGAAAAAGAAAGAUUACCAAUACUCACCAUGAUAAGCUCUACAAAUGUUUAUCGAAGAAGGAGACACCCCUGGGGGUGGUUGAGCCCUUCUCAUUGUCGCACCGGAUAUCAACGAUGAACCACCACUUUGGUAUGCCUCAUGGUCCCCUUCUUCCUCUUCCAUUUUUCUGACCAGAGGGAAAUAUAGGAACAUUAGAGAGCAUUAACUUUCAAAAUCAACAGCAGAUGUAAUACCCAAAUUUCAUUUACUUGUACUAGUGUAGGACAACCAACAAAUUUUGUAUAUGAACUUAACAGAAUUUGGUUUGAGAAUCCAAACACUUAGGCCUCCUUUGGUUCAUAGGAUAGGAAUUUCAUAGGAAUAGGAAAAGUAUAGGAAAUGAGGUGGCAUGCAUCUGAAAUCCUAUGAAUGCUCAGACUAUAGGAAUAGGAAACUAAAUGUCAUUUGGUUCAGGGGAUAGGAACACACAUAGGAAACAUAAAGAAAUAAUGUCAUUUGGUUUAUGGUUAAUAAUGUUAACAAUUAUACUCCCUCUGUAAAGAAAUAUAAAAGCGUUUAGAACACUACUUUAGUGAUCUAAAAACUCUUAUAUUUCUUUACGGAGGAAGUAUAUACAAAGUGCAAAUAUAGACCCUGCCAGCAUAGUAUAUUAUCAUGUAACUGGAGUAUGAACUGAGCAACUAGUGCAGGCAAUCAUCAACUCAUCACACGGGCUAGUGCAGGCAAUUAAAAUACAAAUUGGCUGCUAGUGCAUGGAGCCUGAAUACACAAUAGCAUACUACUCCGUAUGAUGGAUCCAGGGAGAGAAGGCAAGAUGGAUCCAGAUAGUGCAGGCAAUUAAAAUACAAGAUGGAUCAAGAUGGAUCCAGGGACUGGACACAGAUUUGAUUCAACUUUUUUAUUUCUUUUCCCAUCCUUGUCUGCACGCGAGUUAGCGAAAAAUGCAGGGAACAGUUAUCCGCGCGCAUGUCGUUCGCCAUAGGAAAUUUUCCAUCAGCUUGGACCUAAUGUUUCUGAUCCUGUGAAAUCUAGUUCAUACUUGUUCAUGUACUUGUUCAUAUAAAACAUUUCCAAUCAAAUAUGAUCUAGUUACUUGUUCAUGUACACUGACUGAAUGACAGGGACCAACACCGUAGAACUACUACAGAACCAACACUGAAAGUAAGGCAUGACCUGGGAGUACACUGACUGAAUGAAUGACAGGGACCAACACCGACUGAAUGACUGAUCCCAUGGCUACAAAGUACACUGACCGAAAGUAGCAGAAUCAAUACUGAAACAAUUGCAGACAACACUGAUCAAGAACCAAAACAAGACCAGUGCUUGCAUUGCAGCUGCGCUGGGACAGGGAGGAAGCCGGCAAGAGUCUCACCUGCGAGAUGAUGACGGCGACCGGAACGGCGAGGUAGACGGUGGACGGGACCGCAGGUCAGCGAGCUCGACGGCGACCAAUACGACGAACGAGAGGCGGGAGGAACGCCGGCGGCAGCAGGCCAGCAGAGAUGUUCAGGGGCAGCCGGCGGCGGCAGAGAUGGUCGGGGGCGGCUGGUAGAGAAGGUCAGGGGAGGCCGAGGGCGGCAAAGAUGGCCAGCAGCUGCCGGCGGCGGCAGAAAUCGUCGGGAGCAGCCUACAGAGAUCGUGGUGGGCGGCGGCAGAGAUGGACUAGGGCAGCGCGAUCAGACGGCUGGGUCGACCCGUCUGGUCCAUCGGGUCACACGGUGCCGGCUCCACUGACCCAUUUUAUGAUUCGAGGCCAACCCACCUGGCCCAUUGGCCUCGAGAUUUCGGGCCGGGUCAAUGACCCAGCGGGCCGACCCGACCCAUUCCCAUUUUGAACAGUGAGCUAUCAUCAACUUUCUCAGGGUAGGUAUGCAUACAGUAAUUGUUUGUUCUCAUAAAUAUAACUUCAGGCAACUCUAGAGUUUCCGCACUGCCAAUACAGCUAACAGUCGUUGGCACCAACACGCUGGUGAUUGAUUAUUCACACCCAUAAUUAGAAAACAAAACCCCGCAAAAUGACGUGCAUCUCAUAUAUAAAUCAUCCUGCCGCCGCCUCAUCAGUAGGUGUAGCCCUUCUGGAACAUGCCCUUCUUGGCCUCGUCGCUCUCGCCCUCGCCGGUGUAGCUGCCGAGCUGCGCCAACGAGUUGGCCUUGGCGCGGACCAGCAGGGCCUUCUGCGCCGCCUCGAUGUUCUCGGGCUGCCCCUGCCACGUCUUCAGCACCGAGUUCUGGAGGGCCCGGGCGUACGAGAAGGACACGUGCCACGGGUUGGCGGACUGGUUCAUCGCGUUCAGGUUCAUGGUUGCCUCCAGCUCGGACUGUCCGCCGGA